UACGGGGGGGGCAAGCGUUGUUCAGAAUUACUGGGCGUAAAGGGUUCGUAGGUGGCCAACUAAGUCAGACGUGAAAUCCCUCAGCUUAACUGGGGAACUGCGUCUGAGACUGGAUGGCUUGAGUGCAGGAGAGGAACGCGGAAUUCCAGGUGUAGCGGUGAAAUGCGUAGAUAUCUGGAGGAACACCGGUGGCGAAGGCGGCGUUCUGGACUGCAACUGACACUGAGGAACGAAAGCCAGGGGAGCAAACGGG
rnacentral:rRNA from 1 species